GUGGGGAAUUUUGGACAAUGGGCGCAAGCCUGAUCCAGCAAUGCCGCGUGCAGGAAGAAGGCCUUCGGGUUGUAAACUGCUUUUGUACGGAACGAAACGGUUCUCUCUAAUACAGGGGGCUAAUGACGGUACCGUAAGAAUAAGCACCGGCUAACUACGUGCCAGCAGCCGCGGUAAUACGUAGGGUGCAAGCGUUAAUCGGAAUUACUGGGCGUAAAGCGUGCGCAGGCGGUUUUGUAAGACAGAGGUGAAAUCCCCGGGCUCAACCUGGGAAUUGCCUUUGUGACUGCAAGGCUGGAGUGCGGCAGAGGGGGAUGGAAGUCCGCGUGUAGCAGUGAAAUGCGUAGAUAUGCGGAGGAACACCGAUGGCGAAGGCAAUCCCCUGGGCCUGCACUGACGCUCAUGCACGAAAGCGUGGGGAGCAAACAGGAUUAGAUACCCCUGUAGUCC
rnacentral:rRNA from 1 species